UGGCAGCUGUCACUCCUCAUGACUUCAUUGAGCACAUCUUGCGCAAGCUGCCCCAGCAGCGGGAGAAGCUGUCUCUGAUCCGCAAGCAUGCCCAGACCUUCAUUGCUCUGUGUGCCACCGGAGGAGGAUCUCAGGAAGUCAACAGCAUCUCAUCUCUCCAGGUGGGCAGUUAAGGAUGGAGAGGGUACACCCUCACCCCUGAGCGUGCCUUCUGCACCAGCAUAUAGCUUGUUGGCAUUUUUGAUCAAGAGACUUGAGAUUGCCGAGAAAUUUGUACCUGGUUUUUAUUUGUUAAAAUAAUAUUACAUGCAAAUUUUAC
rnacentral:sRNA from 1 species